UACAGAGGUCCCAAGCGUUGUUCGGAAUUAUUGGGCGUAAAGGGUGCGUAGGCGGGUCUUUAAGUCAGGGGUGAAAUCCUGGAGCUCAACUCCAGAACUGCCUUUGAUACUGAGGAUCUUGAGUUCGGGAGAGGUGAGUGGAACUGCGAGUGUAGAGGUGAAAUUCGUAGAUAUUCGCAAGAACACCAGUGGCGAAGGCGGCUCACUGGCCCGAUACUGACGCUGAGGCACGAAAGCGUGGGGAGCAAACAGG
rnacentral:rRNA from 1 species